CAGGCGGUGUCAAUUAUGGCUCUGACAUACAAACACAAAAUAUACAAACGUGCCACGGAUGCACAGUUUAAAGACAAACACACAAGAGUUUAGAAACCGAUUGAACUCUGACAUAAAACUGACGCUAGUUCGAUUAAAGACGCCAAACAAAAGAAGAAGAAAUCCAAUUCACGGUUAAUUAAUUCAAGGCAACUAGAAAACCAGAUGGAAAUGCUUGAAAACGGUAGCAUCAGCUGGGAGCUGACCCCGGCCCUGACACGACCCGUGACCCAAGGCGAGGCAGCGCUUCGAUGUGGCUAAGUUAAACGCUUAGCGCAAUAAUUAAUAAUAGACAUUUUUUUUUUUCCAAUUAAACGCUCCGCUGGCCAGCAAAUAGUUUAAUACCAAAAUGUUUCAAAUUGUUUAAAGCAUUGUGUUUUUUUUUGCCUUGUUUCAUUUUGUUUUAAAGCUAAUUAUGCGAAUGCAAGACAAUUAUAAAAGCAAAUAUAAUAUUUUGGCUAAAGGUCGCAAAGCAA